rnacentral:rRNA from 1 species
AGCGAACGCUGGCGGCAGGCCUAACACAUGCAAGUCGAACGAACCUUUCGGGGUUAGUGGCGGACGGGUGAGUAACACGUGGGAACGUGCCUUUAGGUUCGGAAUAACUCAGGGAAACUUGUGCUAAUACCGAAUGUGCCCUUCGGGGGAAAGAUUUAUCGCCUUUAGAGCGGCCCGCGUCUGAUUAGCUAGUUGGGUGAGGUAAUGGCUCACCAAGGCGACGAUCAGUAGCUGGUCUGAGAGGAUGAUUAGCCACAUUGGGACUGAGACGCGGCCCAGACUCCUACGGGAGGCAGCAGUGGGGAAUCUUGCGAAAUGGGCGAAAGCCUGACGCAGCCAUGCCGCGUGAAUGAUGAAGGUCUUAGGAUUGUAAAAUUCUUUCAACGGGGACGAUAAUGACGGUACCCGGAGAAGAAGCCCCGGCUAACUUCGUG